UGAGGAAUAUUGCACAAUGGACGGAAGUCUGAUGCAGCGACGCCGCGUGGGGGAUGAAGGCUUUCGGGUUGUAAACUCCUUUCAGUACAGAAGAAGCUUUAUUGUGACGGUAUGUGCAGAAGAAGCGCCGGCUAACUACGUGCCAGCAGCCGCGGUAAUACGUAGGGCGCGAGCGUUGUCCGGAAUUAUUGGGCGUAAAGAGCUCGUAGGCGGUUUGUCGCGUCUGCUGUGAAAGACCGGGGCUUAACUCCGGGGCUGCAGUGGGUACGGGCAGGCUGGAGUGCGGUAGGGGUAACCGGAAUUCCUGGUGUAGCGGUGGAAUGCGCAGAUAUCAGGAGGAACACCGAUGGCGAAGGCAGGUUACUGGGCCGUUACUGACGCUGAGGAGCGAAAGCAUGGGGAGCGAACAGG
rnacentral:rRNA from 1 species